GAUGGAAUCAGUUGGAGAUUGCUGGCCAUGCUGUGGGGAGGAAGGGACAGGAAACAGUGAGCUAGAAAUGCAGAAAGAAGAGAGAAAAAGGAGCCAGAGCUGUGUGGGGUUGUUCACAGGACUGCAACUUAGCAAAGGAAAAUGAAGGAAUCAAGGACACCAUAUUCAGAAUAUGUUUUUAUCUCUGCCUGCUGAUCACUGACAACACAGCUCCACCCAGAAGAAGAAAUUUGCCUGCUGAUCACUGAUGACAGUACUCCUCCCAGAAGAAAUUAUGGAUUGUUUUGAUGAUGUUGUAAGAGGAAAUCUGAGAAUUCAGAAAUCUUCCAACACAGAGAUGCAACACUUCUAAAAUACUCUAUUGACUGAAUUCUAAGGCAGCCUUUCACUGAUUAAAUAAAGAAGCCAAAAUGUUCAAUCAAA